rnacentral:ncRNA from 1 species
CGUUGAGUUGCUUAAGUGCAGCUUGAUUUUUCUCCUCUAUUUCUCCUUUGUAGACUUGGCGCAUAUCCGUUUGGGUGUGCGCGUUUUU